CGCGGCCUAUCAGCUUGUUGGUGAGGUAAUGGCUCACCAAGGCGUCGACGGGUAGCUGGUCUGAGAGGACGAUCAGCCACACUGGGACUGAGACACGGCCCAGACUCCUACGGGAGGCAGCAGUGGGGAAUCUUGCGCAAUGGGCGAAAGCCUGACGCAGCAACGCCGCGUGGGGGAUGAAGGCUUUCGGGUUGUAAACCCCUUUCAGCAGGGACGAUUAUGACGGUACUUGCAGAAGAAGGUGCGGCCAACUACGUGCCAGCAGCCGCGGUGACACGUAGGCACCAAGCGUUGUCCGGAUUUAUUGGGCGUAAAGAGCUCGUAGGCGGUUCGGUAAGUCGGGUGUGAAAACUUUGGGCUUAACCCAAAGCCUGCAUCCGAUACUGCUGUGACUAGAGUUCGGUAGGGGAGCGGGGAAUUCCUAGUGUAGCGGUGAAAUGCGCAGAUAUUAGGAGGAACACCGGUGGCGAAGGCGCCGCUCUGGGCCGAUACUGACGCUGAGGAGCGAAAGCGUGGGUAGCAAACAGGAUUAGAUACCCUGGUAGUCCAUGCCGUAAACGUUGGGCACUAGGUGUGGGUUUCAACCAACGAAAUCCGCGCCGUCGCUAACGCAUUAAGUGCCCCGCCUGGGGAGUACGG
rnacentral:rRNA from 1 species